rnacentral:rRNA from 1 species
CCUACGGGAGGCAGCAGUAGGGAAUCUUCGGCAAUGGACGAAAGUCUGACCGAGCAACGCCGCGUGAGUGAAGAAGGUUUUCGGAUCGUAAAACUCUGUUGUUAGAGAAGAACAAGGACGUUAGUAACUGAACGUCCCCUGACGGUAUCUAACUAGAAAGCCACGGCUAACUACGUGCCAGCAGCCGCGGUAAU